CGGAGGAAAAGAAACCAACAGGGAUUGCCCUAGUAACGGCGAGUGAAGCGGCAACAGCUCAAAUUUGAAAUCUGGCCCUCGCGGUCCGAGUUGUAAUUUGUAGAGGAUGCUUUGGGCGCGGCGCCUUCCAAGUUCCCUAGAACGGGACGCCUUAGAGGGUGAGAGCCCCGUACGGUUGGACGCCUAGCCUAUGUAUAGCUCCUUCGACGAGUCGAGUAGUUUGGGAAUGCUGCUCUAAAUGGGAGGUAAAUUUCUUCUAAAGCUAAAUACCGGCCAGAGACCGAUAGCGCACAAGUAGAGUGAUCGAAAGAUGAAAAGUACUUUGAAAAGAGGGUUAAAUAGCACGUGAAAUUGUUGAAAGGGAAGCGUUUGCGACCAGACCUUUUCCAGGCGGAUCAUCCGGCGUUCUCGCCGGUGCACUUCGCCUGGUUUAGGCCAGCAUCGGUUUUCCCAGGGGGAUAAAGGCGGCGGGAACGUGGCUCUCUCGGGAGUGUUAUAGCCCGCCGCGCAAUACCCUUGGGGGGACCGAGGACCGCGCUUCGGCAAGGAUGCUGGCGUAAUGGUCGUCAACGACCCGUCUUGAAACACGGACCAAGGAGUCGAACAUUUGUGCGAGUGUUUGGGUGUUAAACCCUCACGCGUAAUGAAAGUGAACGGAGGUGAGAGCCCCUCGCGGGUGCAUCAUCGACCGAUCCUGAUGUCUUCGGAUGGAUUUGAGUAAGAGCAUAACUGUUCGGACCCGAAAGAUGGUGAACUAUGCGUGGAUAGGGUGAAGCCAGAGGAAACUCUGGUGGAGGCUCGCAGCGGUUCUGACGUGCAAAUCGAUCGUCAAAUCUGCGCAUGGGGGCGAAAGACUUAUCGAACCAUCUAGUAGCU
rnacentral:rRNA from 1 species